AAACUUUACAAUGCUGGCAACAGCGAUAAGGGGACCUCGAGUGCCAGGAUACAAUCUUGGCUGUCGUAAUGCCUAAAAAGCAUUGCAUAGCAAGGGCCGGGCAAGACCGGUGCCAGCCGCCGCGGUAACACCGGCGGCUCGAGUGGUAACCGCUAUUAUUGGGUCUAAAGGGUCUGUAGCCGGCCGGAUAAGUCUCUUGGGAAAUCCAGCAGCUCAACUGUUGGGCUUUCAGGAGAUACUGUUUCGGCUCGAGGCCGGGAGAGGUGAGAGGUACUUCAGGGGUAGGGGUGAAAUCUUGUAAUCCUUGAAGGACCACCAGUGGCGAAGGCGUCUCACCAGAACGGUCCUGACGGCAAGGGACGAAAGCUAGGGGCACGAACCGG
rnacentral:rRNA from 1 species